GGGCGUUACACAUGCAGUCGAGCGGUAGAGAGAAGCUUGCUUCUCUUGAGAGCGGCGGACGGGUGAGUAAUGCCUAGGAAUCUGCCUGGUAGUGGGGGAUAACGUUCGGAAACGGACGCUAAUACCGCAUACGUCCUACGGGAGAAAGCAGGGGACCUUCGGGCCUUGCGCUAUCAGAUGAGCCUAGGUCGGAUUAGCUAGUUGGUGAGGUAAUGGCUCACCAAGGCGACGAUCCGUAACUGGUCUGAGAGGAUGAUCAGUCACACUGGAACUGAGACACGGUCCAGACUCCUACGGGAGGCAGCAGUGGGGAANAUUGGACAAUGGGCGAAAGCCUGAUCCAGCCAGCCGCGUGUGUGAAGAACGUUUCCGACUUGCU
rnacentral:rRNA from 1 species